GACGAAGGGGGCAAGCGUUGUUCGGAAUUACUGGGCGUAAAGGGCGCGUAGGCGGUCUUUUAAGUCAGGGGUGAAAUCCUGGAGCUCAACUCCAGAACUGCCUUUGAUACUGGCGAGCUUGAGUUCGGGAGAGGUGAGUGGAACUGCGAGUGUAGAGGUGAAAUUCGUAGAUAUUCGCAAGAACACCAGUGGCGAAGGCGGCUCACUGGCCCGAUACUGACGCUGAGGUGCGAAAGCGUGGGGAGCAAACAGG
rnacentral:rRNA from 1 species